UCUUUUGGUGUCUUCUGGUGAGCUCUGCCAAAAGCUGAGACCAGAACUCGGUAACAGCUGUGGAAUAAGCACUCUCUUCUUACCUCCCACCAUCAGGGCA